rnacentral:rRNA from 1 species
GUGCCAGCAGCCGCGGUAAUACGGAGGAUCCAAGCGUUAUCCGGAAUCAUUGGGUUUAAAGGGUCCGUAGGCGGCUUUAUAAGUCAGUGGUGAAAUCUGGCGGCUCAACCGUCAAAUUGCCAUUGAUACUGUAGGGCUUGAAUGUUUGUGAAGUAACUAGAAUAUGUAGUGUAGCGGUGAAAUGCUUAGAUAUUACAUGGAAUACCCAUUGCGAAGGCAGGUUACUAACAAAUGAUUGACGCUGAUGGACGAAAGCGUGGGUAGCGAACAGGAUUAGAUACCCUGGUAGUCC